rnacentral:rRNA from 1 species
AUUGAACGCUGGCGGCAGGCCUAACACAUGCACGUCGAGCGGAGCGGCGGACGGGUGAGUAAUGCCUAGGAAUCUGCAUGGUAGUGGGGGAUAACGUCCGGAAACGGGCGCUAAUACCGCAUAAUAUCAGAUGAGACUAGGUCGGAGUAGCUAGUUGGUGGGGUAAAGGCCUACCAAGGCGACGAUCCGUAACUGGUCUGAGAGGAGGAUCAGUCACACUGGAACGGAGACACGGUCCAGACUCCUACGGGAGGCAGCAGUUGGGAAUAGUGGACAAUGGGCGAAAGCCUGAUCCAGCCAUUCCGCGUGUGUGAAGAAGGUCUUCGGAUUGUAAAGCACUUUAAGUUGGGAGGCGUUACCAACAGAAUAAGCACCGGCUAACUUCGUGCCAGCAGCCGCGGUAAUUC